rnacentral:rRNA from 1 species
UACGUAGGGCGCAAGCGUUGUCCGGAAUUAUUGGGCGUAAAGAGCUCGUAGGCGGCUUGUCACGUCGGGUGUGAAAGCCCGGGGCUUAACCCCGGGUCUGCAUUCGAUACGGGCUAGCUAGAGUGUGGUAGGGGAGAUCGGAAUUCCUGGUGUAGCGGUGAAAUGCGUAGAUAUACGGAGGAACACCAGCGGCGAGGGCGGGUAGCUGGGCCAACACUGACGCUGAUGCGCGAAAGCUAGGGGAGCAAACGGG